rnacentral:rRNA from 1 species
GUCUACAGCCAUGCCACCCUGAACAUGCGCUAUCUCGUCUGAUCUCAGAAGCUAAGCAGGGUCAGGCUGGUUAGUACUUGGAUGGGAGACCACCUAGGAAUACCAGGUGCUAUAGGCA